rnacentral:rRNA from 1 species
AACGGCCAUACCAUGCUGAAUAUAUCGGUUCUCGUUAGAUCACGCAUCAUUGGGCGCGGUCUGUACUUGGGUGGGUGACCACCUUGGGAACAUCGCGUGCUGUU